UACAGAGGGUGCGAGCGUUAAUCGGAAUUAUUGGGCGUAAAGGGCGCGUAGGCGGGCUCGUAAGUCGUAUGUGAAAGCCCUGGGCUUAACCUGGGAAUGGCACUGGAUACUGCAUGUCUAGAGUGAAGGAGAGGGGGGCGGAAUUUCCGGUGUAGCGGUGAAAUGCGUAGAUAUCGGAAAGAACACCGGUGGCGAAGGCGGCCCCCUGGGCGUUUACUGACGCUGAGGCGCGAAAGCGUGGGGAGCAAACAGG
rnacentral:rRNA from 1 species